AACGAACGCUGGCGGCAGGCCUAACACAUGCAAGUCGAGCGAACCCUUCGGGGUUAGCGGCGGACGGGUUAGUAACGCGUGGGAAUAUACCCUUUGGUACGGAAUAGCCUCGGGAAACUGAGAGUAAUACCGUAUGUGCCCUUCGGGGGAAAGAUUUAUCGCCAAAGGAUUAGCCCGCGUUGGAUUAGAUAGUUGGUGGGGUAAUGGCCUACCAAGUCUACGAUCCAUAGCUGGUUUGAGAGGAUGAUCAGCAACACUGGGACUGAGACACGGCCCAGACUCCUACGGGAGGCAGCAGUGGGGAAUCUUAGACAAUGGGCGCAAGCCCGAUCUAGCCAUGCCGCGUGGACGAUGAAGGCCUUAGGGUUGUAAAGUCCUUUCAGAUGGGAAGAUAAUGACGGUACCAUCAGAAGAAGCCCCGGCUAACUCCGUG
rnacentral:rRNA from 1 species